GUGCUCAUUUUGACAGCACAUAUACUUAAAAAAUGGGAAUGAUACAGAGAUUAGCAUGGUCCUUGUGUGAGGUUGACAUGGAAGUUUCUGAAGUAUUCCAUAUUUCA
ensembl:snRNA U6 U6 spliceosomal RNA